rnacentral:rRNA from 1 species
AACGAUGAGACCUAGCUUGCUAGGUUGAUUAGUGGCGAACGGGUGAGUAAUGUAUCGGAACGUAUCCAAUAAUGGGGGAUAACUAACCGAAAGGUUGGCUAAUACCGCAUACGCCCUACGGGGGAAAGCAGGGGAUCUUCGGACCUUGCGUUAAUGGAGCGGCCGAUAUCUGAUUAGCUAGUUGGUGAGGUAAAGGCUCACCAAGGCGACGAUCAGUAGCUGGUCUGAGAGGACGACCAGCCACACUGGAACUGAGACACGGUCCAGACUCCUACGGGAGGCAGCAGUGGGGAAUUUUGGACAAUGGGGGCAACCCUGAUCCAGCCAUUCCGCGUGAGUGAAGAAGGCCUUCGGGUUGUAAAGCUCUUUUGUCCGGAGCGAAACGGGUAGCCCUAAUACGGCUGCCUACUGACGGUACCGGAAGAAUAAGCACCGGCUAACUACGUGCCAGCAGCCGCGGUAAUACGUAGGGUGCGAGCGUUAAUCGGAAUUACUGGGCGUAAAGCGUGCGCAGGCGGCUUUGUAAGCCAGAUGUGAAAUCCCCGGGCUCAACCUGGGAAUGGCAUUUGGGACUGCAAGGCUGGAGUGUGGCAGAGGGGACUAGAAUUCCUGGUGUAGCAGUGAAAUGCGUAGAUAUCAGGAGGAAUACCGAUGGCGAAGGCAGGUCCCUGGGCUAACACUGACGCUCAUGCACGAAAGCGUGGGGAGCAAACAGGAUUAGAUACCCUGGUAGUCCACGCCCUAAACGAUGUCGACUGGUUGUUGGGGGUUUGACACUCUCAGUAACGAGGCUAACGCGUG